CCUACGGGUCGCAGCAGUGGGGAAUAUUGCACAAUGGGCGCAAGCCUGAUGCAGCCAUGCCGCGUGUGUGAAGAAGGCCUUCGGGUUAUAAAGCACUUUCAGCGGGGAGGAAGGCGCCAAGGUUAAUAACCUUGGCGUUUGACGUUACCCGCAGAAGAAGCACCGGCUAACUCCGUGCCAGCAGCCGCGGUAAUACGGAGGGUGCAAGCGUUAAUCGGAAUUACUGGGCGUAAAGCGCACGCAGGCGGUCUGUCAGGUCGGAUGUGAAAUCCCCGGGCUCAACCUGGGAACUGCAUUCGAAACUGGCAGGCUAGAGUCUUGUAGAGGGGGGUAGAAUUCCAGGUGUAGCGGUGAAUGCGUAGAGAUCUGGAGGAAUACCGGUGGCGAAGGCGGCCCCCUGGACAAAGACUGACGCUCAGGUGCGAAAGCGUGGGGAGCAAACAGGAUUAGAUACCCUCGUAGUC
rnacentral:rRNA from 1 species